UCCCGUCUUCCACAGACCACCCCAUCCUUCCCCUCCCCUCUGGCUGGCCGUGUCCUCCCUCCCUGAGAUCUCAGAGCUGCGGCUGGAGACCUGCGGCUGGAGACCUGCGUGGCGUGUCGCGUCUCCGCCCGUCCCGUGCCGGUGCCGUAUCCUCCCCCAAAGCCUCACAACCCCGCCCCGCCCGCAAGAUCCCGCUGCUGCCUGGGCCGGUGACCAUGGCCGGGUUUUCCCAGUACGGCGGAGACACCAGGUGUACUAGAUUGUGACUGGGAUCCCCCCACCUGUCUCAGAGAACAACCUUGUCCAUGGAUCAGCCCCCUCCUCGGACCUCGACAAACCACAGUGCUUGUGACUGUUGUUAGCUGGCCGAGUUCCCAAAAGAAGAUUCCUGCAGACUUCUAUAUAGCAUGAAAUCACUGUUGAUGACCUCUUAAC